CCUACGGGAGGCUGCAGUGGGGAAUAUUGGACAAUGGGGGGAACCCUGAUCCAGCCAUGCCGCGUGUGUGAAGAAGGCCCUCGGGUUGUAAAGCACUUUCAGUGAGGAAGAACGCCUGGUGGUUAAUACCCAUCAGGAAAGACAUCACUCACAGAAGAAGCACCGGCUAACUCCGUGCCAGCAGCCGCGGUAAUACGGAGGGUGCGAGCGUUAAUCGGAAUUACUGGGCGUAAAGCGCGCGUAGGUGGCUUGAUAAGCCGGUUGUGAAAGCCCCGGGCUCAACCUGGGAACGGCAUCCGGAACUGUCAAGCUAGAGUGCAGGAGAGGAAGGUAGAAUUCCCGGUGUAGAGGUGAAAUGCGUAGAGAUCGGGAGGAAUACCAGUGGCGAAGGCGGCCUUCUGGACUGACACUGACACUGAGGUGCGAAAGCGUGGGUAGCAAACAGGAUUAGAUACCCUGGUAGUC
rnacentral:rRNA from 1 species